rnacentral:ncRNA from 1 species
UAUGGCCAGACAAAGUAAACCGGGCGACCGGUCGAAAUCAGCGCCUUUAUGGAAGGAGUGGACGACCUUCCCGAAAGGGUAAAUUCGCGCCUCGACGCAAGCGGGCGAACGCUUCUUGCAUGGCGUGUGCCGGAGUAAAACACGUUUCAUGCCCGAUCUUGCUACGCAGUUUAGACGCUCCCCUACAAGAAAUUGUGCGAGGUGUACUUUUUUAUUAUGAACAGU